rnacentral:misc_RNA from 1 species
GAUGAAGAACGUAGCGAAAUGCGAUAACUAAUGUGAAUUGCAGAAUUCAGUGAAUCAUCGAGUCUUUGAACGCACAUUGCGCCCCCUGGUAUUCCGGGGGGCAUGCCUGUCCGAGCGUCAUUGCUGCCCUCAAGCCCGGCUUGUGUGUUGGGUCGCCGUCCCCCUCUCCGGGGGGACGGGCCCGAAAGGCAGCGGCGGCACCGCGUCCGAUCCUCGAGCGUAUGGGGCUUUGUCACAUGCUCUGUAGGAUUGGCCGGCGCCUGCCGACGUUUUCCAACCAUUCUUUCCAGGUUGACCUCGGAUCAGGUAGGGAUACCCGCUGAACUUAAGCAUAUCAAUAGCGGAGGA